GGGGAUCUGCCCGAUAGAGGGGGAUAACCACUGGAAACGGUGGCUAAUACCGCAUAACGUCGCAAGACCAAAGAGGGGGACCUUCGGGCCUCUCACUAUCGGAUGAACCCAGAUGGGAUUAGCUAGUAGGCGGGGUAAUGGCCCACCUAGGCGACGAUCCCUAGCUGGUCUGAGAGGAUGACCAGCCACACUGGAACUGAGACACGGUCCAGACUCCUACGGGAGGCAGCAGUGGGGAAUAUUGCACAAUGGGCGCAAGCCUGAUGCAGCCAUGCCGCGUGUAUGAAGAAGGCCUUCGGGUUGUAAAGUACUUUCAGCGGGGAGGAAGGCGGUGCGGUUAAUAACCGCGCCGAUUGACGUUACCCGCAGAAGAAGCACCGGCUAACUCCGUGCCAGCAGCCGCGGUAAUACGGAGGGUGCAAGCGUUAAUCGGAAUUACUGGGCGUAAAGCGCACGCAGGCGGUCUGUUAAGUCAGAUGUGAGAUCCCCGGGCUUAACCUGGGAACUGCAUUUGAAACUGGCAGGCUUGAGUCUCGUAGAGGGGGGUAGAAUUCCAGGU
rnacentral:rRNA from 1 species